UACGUAGGGUGCAAGCGUUGUCCGGAAUUAUUGGGCGUAAAGAGCUCGUAGGCGGUCUGUCGCGUCUGGUGUGAAAAUCCAGGGCUUAACCCUGGACCUGCAUCGGGUACGGGCAGACUAGAGUGCGGUAGGGGAGAUCGGAAUUCCUGGUGUAGCGGUGAAAUGCGCAGAUAUCAGGAGGAACACCUAUUGCGAAGGCAGCUCGCUGGGACGUAACUGACGCCGAGACGCGAAAGCGUGGGGAGCAAACAGG
rnacentral:rRNA from 1 species